rnacentral:rRNA from 1 species
UACAGAGGGGGCGAGCGUUGUUCGGAAUUACUGGGCGUAAAGGGCGCGUAGGCGGCCCGCUAAGUCGAACGUGAAAUCCCCGAGCUCAACUCGGGAACUGCGUCCGAUACUGGUGGGCUUGAAUCCGGGAGAGGGAUGCGGAAUUCCAGGUGUAGCGGUGAAAUGCGUAGAUAUCGGGAGGAACACCAGUGGCGAAGGCGACUACCUGGCCUGUUCUUGACGCUGAGGCGCGAAAGCUAGGGGAGCAAACGGG